rnacentral:rRNA from 1 species
GACGAACGCUGGCGGCGUGCUUAACACAUGCAAGUCGAACGAAGUGGCGAACGGGUGAGUAAUACGUGGGUAACCUGCCCUCCUUUUUGGGAUGAGCCUUGGCAACGGGGUCUAAUACCGUAUAAUGGGGGAGGGGCUCGCGGCCUAUCGGCUGGUUGGUGGGGUGAUGGCCUACCAAGGCGGUGACGGGUAGCCGGACUGAUAGGGUGACCGGCGACAGUGGGACUGAGCUACGGCCUAGACGCGUAAGCGGGGGAGCAGUGGCGGAUAUUGAAGAAUGGGUGAAAGCGCAAUGCAGCGACGCCGCGUGGGGGAUGAGGGCUUUCGGGUUGUAAACCUCUUUCGCAAUCGAACGGGUAGCUAGACAAGAAGCGCCGGCUAACUACGUGCCAGCAGCCGCGGUAAUAC